rnacentral:piRNA from 1 species
GUGACACUUUUAAUCUCCUACAACCCAC